UUUCCGUUGGUGAACCAGCGGAGGGAUCAUUACCGAGUUUACAACCCCCAAACCCAAUGUGAACCAUACCAAACUGUUGCCUCGGCGGGGUCACGCCCCGGGUGCGUCGCAGCCCCGGAACCAGGCGCCCGCCGGAGGGACCAACCAAACUCUUUCUGUAGUCCCCUCGCGGACGUUAUUUUUACAGCUCUGAGCAAAAAUUCAAAAUGAAUCAAAACUUUCAACAACGGAUCUCUUGGUUCUG
rnacentral:misc_RNA from 1 species